UAGCUCAGAUGGUAAAGCGUCUGCUUACAAUGUGGAAGACCCAGGUUCAAUCCCUGG
rnacentral:tRNA from 1 species